UGGUACGGCCUGGAGGGGGCAGCAAAACUUUCCAACUACUAACACAUGACGUCACAGGCCCAUUUUCUUCAGGUUUAGAUAUUCAAAAUUAAGAAAAUGUGGGUUCGGAGUUGCUUGUACCCCAGUGUGUCAAAGAUUAGAAGAAACAAAAAAUUGUUAACAAGAAAUUAUCAGAAUGGAAAUCCAGAUCGAUAAGAAAUAUCUCGAGUCAUCGAUUUUUUAAAUGCAAAAAUACAUAAUUUAAUCAGGACUGCUGUUUGACAUCAAUAUUGAAGAAAAUGCUCCAUAUUUAUAUACGUAGUAAAAAAACCUUGUUUUAACAAUGUUCAAGAAUUGUUUGCGCUGGCUAAUAUGUUUGAGAGUAAAUUUAAA